rnacentral:rRNA from 1 species
UUGGAGGGCAAGUCUGGUGCCAGCAGCCGCGGUAAUUCCAGCUCCAAUAGCGUAUAUUAAAGUUGUUGCAGUUAAAAAGCUCGUAGUUGAAUUUCGGGAUUGACACAUCGGUCGUGCCUUAAGGGGUAUGAACUGGUGUAGUCAAUUUCUCACCUUCUGGAGAACCACGAUGCCCUUAAUUGGGUGUCGCGGGGAACCAGGACCUUUACUUUGAAAAAAUUAGAGUGUUUAAAGCAGGCAUUUUGCUUGAAUACAUUAGCAUGGAAUAAUAAAAUAGGACGGCAUGAUUCUAUUUUGUUGGUUUCUAGGAUCACCGUAAUGAUUAAUAGGGAUAGUUGGGGGCAUUAGUAUUCAAUUGUCAGAGGUGAAAUUCUUGGAUUUAUUGAAGACUAACUACUGCGAAAGCAUUUGCCAAGGAUGUUUUCAUUAAUCAAGAACGAAAGUUAGGGGAUCGAAGACGAUCAGAUACCGUCGUAGUCUUAACCAUAAACUAUGCCGACUAGGGAUCGGAUGAUGUUAAUUUUUUAAUGACUCAUUCGGCGCCUUACGGGAAAC